AUGGACAAUGAUAAAAAUUCACCUAUGUGUGCAAGCAGCGCUGGUACCUUGACUGCACUAUGUGACCCUCUACACAGGAGGCUGUGUGCCUUUGUUCCAGCACCAGCAAUGCACUUCUCCCUUGAAUUCCAGCUCCAGCACAUGCUCCUCAGGUCAACUUUACCUGCAGUGCUGAGCUAUUGUGACAGUAUGGCUUUUGUGACUUGCGUUGAGCAGGAAGCUUUCAAAGCCAUGUGCCAAAGUUAAGAAUUGUGGAUUUACAUAAAGGCCCUCCUACACCUGAAUAAAUCUUAAGAAAGAAAAUAAAGCUUCA
rnacentral:lncRNA from 1 species